UGGGGAAUAUUGCACAAUGGGCGAAAGCCUGAUGCAGCAACGCCGCGUGAGUGAUGAAGGCCUUCGGGUUGUAAAGCUCUGUCUUUUGGGACGAUAAUGACGGUACCAAAGGAGGAAGCCACGGCUAACUACGUGCCAGCAGCCGCGGUAAUACGUAGGUGGCAAGCGUUGUCCGGAUUUACUGGGCGUAAAGGAUGCGUAGGCGGAUUUUUAAGUGAGAUGUGAAAUACCCGGGCUUAACUUGGGUGCUGCAUUUCAAACUGGGAAUCUAGAGUGCGGGAGAGGAGAAUGGAACUCCUAGUGUAGCGGUGAAAUGCGUAGAGAUUAGGAAGAACACCAGUGGCGAAGGCGAUUCUCUGGACCGUAACUGACGCUGAGGCAUGAAAGCGUGGGUAGCAAACAGGAUUAGAUACCCUGGUAGUCCACGCCGUAAACGAUGAGUACUAGGUGUAGGAGGUAUCGACCCCUUCUGUGCCGCAGUUAACACAAUAAGUACUCCGCCUGGGAAGUACGAUCGCAAGAUU
rnacentral:rRNA from 1 species